AAGGGUCUGAGUCUGCACACAACCACUAACCUCUGCUCUCCCCUUAAAGGUCACUAAUCCUCUAUCCAGCUGCUACAGUGCUAUGUUAAACUGUUAUGCCUCAAAUGCACAUAUGUUACACACCACACAGCAAAAAGCAGAACCCUACUACUCUUCUCUACUACUCUGCAGAACCCUGAAGCCAAAAGGUCUUCCCACGCACCUGCAAGCAAAAUAGCCUAAAUGGCCAUAAUACUGCCAUAAAUGGCGGAAUUGCAGUAUCUUCUUGAACAGUACUCUUUGGUGGCAUUUUUCAGGCCAUUGCAACUUAAACUUUAAACUUUGUUGCAAUAUUGGGGCAAGUAGCUUAUUGGACUGCGUGUUUGUGUGUUUGCGUGUGAGAGGGAAAUGGAAACUCCUUAUGAGCAAUGAUCUCUCUCUUUUUGAAGCUAAUAUGCACAGACAGCUGUUUAAUUCACACAAACAUCCCGCUGUAUAUUUGACCAGAACAACGUAUUACUUAUUUAACAGAUAAGAAGUUCUUCUUCCACGUAGGCCUACAUUUGCUAAUUUGGCAGACACUAUAAUGCGGGGAAAAGUCACAUUACAGUUUUUGCCCGUUGCUUGAACACUAUAGACCCAUGCUUAGACUAAAGUAACACAACUUGAAGCUUUUGUUACCAUACCUCAAACACAUGUACCCAUACCUUAAACAAAAGCGCUGCUUUGCAUUCUAGUUGCAAUUCUGCAACACACUUACUCCUUUAUGGAACACACUUGCAUACUGCACUCUAUUUCAUACAUAAGACACUUUGUUCAAAAAUGAAAUCUCAGGGUGCCAUUUGGAAAACGCAUGUAUCCAAAAUACAAAACACAUCAGGUAAUUGCUACCACUCAAAUACACACCUGAAGGCACUUACUUGCAAAACUGAACACCAAUCAGCCAGCUGCAAAAAGCCCUUAGUUUAGCCAUUUCAAGAACUUUGCAAGCAUGGAUGGAGGGAGAGCAAGAGGCAGAGGAAGAGGAGGAGGAGGAGGACAAGGUCAAGGUUAAGGUCGAAGAGGCCAUGCAUGGACCCCGAUUUCUGAUGAUAUAAGAGCAACUUUGGUGGACCAUGUCAUCAACCAUGGCCUGACUACGAGGGAAGCUGGGCAAAGAGUCCACCCAGAUCUAAGCCGCUUCACAGUGGCAUCUGUAAUAACAUUCCGACUAGAAAACAGAAUGACUAGAAGACCUUCUGGGGGGAGGACGCCAACGCCUGUUCACACAACAGCAGGAACUUGCUGUUGUGGACCUAGUGACAGAAAAUACUUGCAGACAGGCAAGUGUUCAACAUAAACCAUGUGAGCAUCACCACCAUCAGACGCAUCUUGGGAAAACACAACAUCACCAUGAAGCAGCUCUACAGGGUCCCAUUUGAGAGGAACAGUGUCAGGGUCAAAGGACUUCGAGCUGAAUAUAGAAUCUUGGUCAUGGAUGGAGCUGCACAGCCUCAUGAAUUAAUUUUCAUUGAUGAAGCUGGAUUUGACCUGAGCAAAACAAUACGAUGGGGUCAUAAUGUAAUUGGCCAAAGGGCAAUUGUGCAUGUCCCAGGGCAGCGCGGGGGAAAUAUCACAUUGUGUGCUGCCAUAUGCCUUAGAGGGCUUCUGCAACAUCAUGCAAAACUAGGUCCAUACAAUAGCCAACAUAUACUCACAUUUCUAGAUGCUUUCCAUAAUAUAGUUGUACAGAACAGACCAGGUUUGUGGUGGUAUGGGAUAAUGUCAGUUUCCAUCGGGCUGCUCUGGUCCAGGCCUGGUUCACCAACCACAAUCAAUUUGAAGUGGUAUACUUGCCCCCUAACUCACCAUUUUUAAACCCUAUAGAGGAAUUCUUUUCGGCUUGGAGAUGGCAUGUAUAUGACCGCCAACCACAUGCCCGCAUGCCUCUUCUGCAGGCAAUGGAACAGGCCGGUGACAGCAAUCCAUGGAUGGUUUCGACAUGCAAGGGGAUAUUUUCCCCCGGUGCCUAGCGGGAGAAGACAUUGCUUGCGAUGUCGAUGAGGUCCUGUGGCCAGACCCCAACAGACGGCGGGAUCCAUGAGCCCACGUAUGCACAAUUUCCAUGAUUUUCUGUGUUUACAAUAUAGUGUUUUUUGCAUUAUCAUAUAUUUUUUUGCUUUAUCUGAAUUCAUGUUACUGCAAUUUACAGUGAUGCAAUGUCCAAUAUUGAGUAGGCCUAUUUGCUUUUUUUGAUUGUUUGAAAAUGUGCCUCCUGAAAAUAUGCCUUCUGAAUAAACAGUGAAAAUCAAAGACUGCAGUGUUUAUAUAAAGUAGUGUGCUCCCGCUGAUCUGAAAGUGUAUGCAUAUGAUGCAAGUAUGUGUCAUUUUGUCAUCAGAGUUACAUUUUGAUAGUAGAGUUUCAAUUUGACAUAGAUGUGAAUGGUAUAUUUCCCAGUGUUGUCAUGUUUACUUGUGUGUAGAGUUUUGGCACUAUGAGCAAAGUUUUGCAAAAUGUGUUCAAGCAACGGGCAAAAACUGUAAGAAGUAGUCUCGUUCCAUGAUUCAAACCCAGACCUCCUGAAUGCAGGACAGCCACAUUGCCACUGUACUAUUAUGUAGUUGUGUUCUUCAGAGAACAGUUAUUGUUAGAACUGUUACUAAAUGUCUCUUGUUGUCAACAUCCGUUGUGGCUUUUGGUAUUCGUGUUGUGGCUUUUGUAUUUGGCCAGAGACCUAAAGGCCACCGUAUUUAGGGGUUUAUAUUUGAGAAACAAGGAGUGGCCGGUAGACUUGAUUCCAGAGGGUGAAGGGAAUUGGUCUCUUGCAAAAUUGGGUCGGUUAUCUCUCUUUAAGAAUUGAAUAAUUUAAUAUCAAUAUAAUGUUAAGUUUAAUGUCCAAUGAUUCUAGUAGGCUAAUCUGAGUGAAUUUGAGUAAUCUUUAGGAUUUUUGUCUAGGUUCUGAAUAGGAGGAGUAAUAAAGUUAACUACACUUCUAUUUUUCCAUUGUAUUUUUAUUAUUUUCUUUAAUUAUAACUUUAUGUAAUCUAUAUUAAUUGUCAUUUUCAUAAAUAUUUGUACUUGUAUGUUAAUAAAUUAUUGAAAAAUUAAGAUACAGACUAAUUAUUUGUGCCUCUUGUUUAUGAUAUGAGGGAAUCCCAGCCCCACAGGUGUAAAGAAAAAGUGGUGAUUACAGUUUUUCUCAAAUGCUAAAACACAAAAGCCAAUCCUCUAAACCAAAUGACCAGUUGUCUAAACACAUUUACUAAAUCUAGCCAUCAUUUUCCAAUAUCAUAAACACAUUUCACAUGAAGACACAAUUCACAAAACACAAUCCUCCGUUCACAAAUCUUAACACAUUUUUCCUUGCUAAAACACAAGUUGCAAAAGAACUCUGCUCAUAUUCUCAAAUGAAAGCUCAUGUGAUGCAAAAUGCUUGCCACAGUCAGCAAUAUUUGAACAAAAUGAACACACCUGGCGUCAUUCAUUACACACAACGAUUCAAAAUUGAAAACACCUGUUGCUAAUGCUGUGACCACAUGUAUAAAAGCAAGUUCAGAGUGCACAGUUUGCUGAAGAUUUCAAACAAACACAAUGGAUGAAGGCAGAGUCAGGGGAAGAGGUAAUCGAGUCAGAGGAGGGAGAAGAGCUGGCCAAGGAGG